rnacentral:tRNA from 1 species
GGCUAGGUAACAUAGUGGUUAUGUAGAAGAUUGCAAAUCUUUAUAGAUUGGUUCGAUUCCAAUCCUAGCUU